rnacentral:rRNA from 1 species
CAGUCGCCGCGGUAAUACGAAGGGUGCAAGCGUUAAUCGGAAUUACUGGGCGUAAAGCGUGCGUAGGCGGUUUGUUAAGUCUGCUGUGAAAUCCCCGGGCUCAACCUGGGAAUGGCAGUGGAUACUGGCAAGCUAGAGUGUGUCAGAGGAUGGUGGAAUUCCCGGUGUAGCGGUGAAAUGCGUAGAGAUCGGGAGGAACAUCAGUGGCGAAGGCGGCCAUCUGGGACAACGCUGACGCUGAGGCACGAAAGCGUGGGGAGCAAACAGGAUUAGAUACCCCGGUAGUCCCUGUCUCUUAUAC